AUGUCCAAUGUGGACCUGGAAGACCUCAGAUUUAUCUAUCGUCAGAUCAGAGCAGGGUCUGCCAUGUUGAGGGCCUACAAAAGUGACACCCGGGCAAUGCCCUAUGAGUCUCUGACGGUGGCUGAUGUUGGGGACGUCAACGUGUAUGAGGCCUACCGUACAAUCCUGGCCACGGGCUUUAUCCACCUUACUAUUGACUCGGCCCUGUGGGUCUCAUCCAUGUGGAUGCCCAAGAUUGGCCCGGGACCCCCUUCAGACGUUGUGGGUAGAAGGGCCUGCUGGACUGCAAGAGGGUUGUCCAGAUAGAGCUGUGUGGAACACGCUACUCACCUGAAGCCUACGAGUGGAGCCGAGGACAGGUACACACUUCAUUGUGUGUAGUGGUCUUCCUCACCUAUGGCGACACAAACAUUAACAAUAGUUAAAAAUACAGGUCCUUCAGAAAGUAUUCACACCUCUUGACCUCUUCCACAUUUUCCUGUGUUACAACCUGACUUUAAGGUGGAUUAAAUUUAGAUUUAAAAAAAAAAAAUCAUUGCCCUCCACACAAUGCCCCAUAAUGUCAUAGUGGAAUUCUGUUUUUACAAAUUAAUAAACAAUUCAUAGCUGAGAUGUCUUGAGUCAAUAAGUAUUCAACCCCUUUGUCAUGGGAAGCCUAAAUAAGUUCAGGAGUAAAAAUGUACUGAACAAGUCACAUAAUAGGUUGCAUGGACACACUCUGUGUGCAAUAAUAGUGUUUAAAAUGAUUUUUGAAUAACUAUCUCAUCUCUAUACCACAAACAUACAAUUAUCUGAGGUCCCUCAGUCGAGCAGUGAAUUUCAAACAGAUUCAACCACAAAGAAAAGUGAGGUUUUCCAAUGCCUCGCAAAGAAGGGCACCUAUUGUUAGAUUGUCACGGAUUCCCCCGGUACUGCUGCUCAUUCCGUGCACCAGCUCUGGAGGCCUACUUCACCGGCCUCUAGGCGUCACUGAACUCAUUCCCAUUCCCCCUGAUUAGUAAUUGUAUAUAUGUGUCCUCUGUUCACCAUUGUUUUGUCGGUUAUUGUUCCCAUGUCUGUUGAUCUUGUGAGUACCUGUGCUUUGUGGAGUUGGUUUUCGUGCUGUGUAUUAUGUGUUCGUUAUUACGGGUCCCGUCUCGUGUAUUGUUGUGCACUUAUUAUUACGGGUCUCAUCCCAUGUAUUUAUUAGAGGUUUAAGCUCGCUCUUUUGUUUGGGUUUACAACCCUGUGUUUUUGUAUAUGUGUUUGUUUUGGGCUUCGUCCCCGUAUUCUUUCAUGGCAUGUUGUAUUUUUGGGUGGAGUAUUAAAACCCCCUAUUACAUGUUCCU
ensembl:lncRNA